CCUGCCCAAGCGAUCGGGAUAACACCUGGAAACAGAUGCUAAUACCGGAUAACAACAGAUGAUGCCUAUCAACUGUUUAAAAGAUGGUUCUGCUAUCACUCUUGGAUGGACCUGCGGUGCAUUAGCUAGUUGGUAGGGUAACGGCCUACCAAGGCGAUGAUGCAUAGCCGAGUUGAGAGACUGAUCGGCCACAUUGGGACUGAGACACGGCCCAAACUCCUACGGGAGGCAGCAGGA
rnacentral:rRNA from 1 species